rnacentral:rRNA from 1 species
CUUCUGCCACCGAAUACAUUAGCAUGGGAUAAUGGAAUAGGACCCUGUCCUCCUAUUUUGCGUGUUGGUUUUCGAGGACCGGGUAAUGAUUAAUAGGGAUAGUUGGGGGCAUUAAUAUUUAAUUGUCAGAGGUGAAAUUCUUGGAUUUAUGAAAGAUUGACUUCUGCGAAAGCAUCUGCCAAGGAUGUUUUCAUUAAUCAAGAACGAAAGUUAGGGGAUCGAAGACGAUCAGAUACCGUCGUAGUCUUAACCAUAAACGAUGCCGACCAGCGAUUAGGAGACGUUGAAUACAAAACACCACCGUGGGUCGGCCGUCCUUGGCCGUCGUGCGCGGCGACGCGCGCGGCGGCGAGGGCGGUGUCUGCCCGACGGCCCGGUGAAUGACUCCCCUAG